UUCUUGGGGUAAGUUUGAUCUUCACCAGCAAGAUAUUAAAUUUCUUCUUCUUGUCUCUUUGCACAGGGCCACUUGACAAACUACAACAGCAGCAACCAGAAACCAGCAACCAGCAACAGCAGUAGGAGGAGCAGCUGCCGCCAUUGCCCCUCCUGGGGAUUUAGCAUUCAUCUACCCUCUCAAGAGCCCCCAGAAUUCCAAAUGUCACACACUUGCAGAAACUGUGCAGCUGACAAAAUCAUGCCCUGCAAGAGCACGAGGCAAAUCAUAGUCAGCUGCUGUAGAUAAUCCAACUCGGCUCCAUAUCCCACACCUGGGACUAAAACAAAAACAUAUUCCCAUAACAUUCCUGUGGUGGUGGUUGUUUUUUUUGAAGAAACCAAAAUUCUCACUACAGUGGACUGUAAGCCAUAACCUGGACUAGAGCCAUUCUCCCACACGUUGCAUUUGAUCAUGGUGUUUUGUUACAGCAACAGAAAGAAGCUAGGACAGCAAUCUAAUCCUCCACACCCGCCCCAGCCUCCGGCCCCCUUCGUGUCACUUUACACGGCAGCAACACCGAGAGACUUCGCAUUCUGCCGUAGGAACACUUCAUCGUUUGUGCUUUGUGCUUAGCGUGAUUCUAUACACAAGCGUAACCAGCAUUUGUGACAGGCUGGCUAUAGAUAUAUUCUUCCUGAACAGUCAAGUAGAGAUCUCAGUGAAGUAUAUGUGGCCAUGUGUCAUGGGAAACAGAGGAAGUCCCAAGGAAAUGUCUAUAGUUGGCACAAGCAGAGCCAUGUCAAGGACCCCAACGCCUCAGACAACUGGCAAAACCUUCAUUGGGUCGAGGGUCAAACUCAGAGUGCUGGUAAAGCCUCCUUCUGGCCUGAGUGUGAGUAUUGACAGAGUGAGUAGAAACUGUCAACACAGUGGAUGACUACAGUCUGAGAUUGCUCCCCUACGAAGACCUCCUUCUGGUUCCGCCCUGCACCAUAAACCUGCCUCCUCAGUUCGGACGUAUGAGAAACCCGCUCUUGACUCAGGUGUAAUAAAAUCAGUUGCUGGUCUGCAACUGGUGUCCUGAAUUAGAGCAACAUACCCAGUUCCAGCUCCUCUGCAGGUUGAAGGUAUUUUUCUUUAAUCUCUGUCAUUGAGUGGCUUGAAGAUGAGGACAGAAAUCAAGACAUUUGUGUGUCUAGCUGUAUUGAGUACCAUGGGCUGAGCCUUCCAAGUGAGAAGAUGAGAAAUAUCAGACACUGUGUGAAGAGCAAUAGCCCAAGAAGUGUUACCCUUUCCUU